CAUUCCCCCAAUUUCUUCUAAGCACUUAUGAUGUUACGUUGGAAUAUUUGCUAGCUUUAUCACAAGAAGUUAUUAGAUCUAGUCUUAUGCUUGCCUACUAUUCUUUAGUAUGCACUCUAGCUAUGUGUUCUAAGUAGCUGGGAUGCUUUUCCCUCAUUAUACCCACAUGAAGUAGUUGUUUCAGGAUGUUGCAACUAAUGUGGCUGUUAAUGCAUUUUCCGACUCCUGAAUUGAGGUUUUCAAACGGAUGGGAAUCUUUGUUUAUCAACUUGUAUUGGUCACGAUAGUUGAAAAGCCAAUUUUUAUUUUUUUUUGAAAUUGUAAAUGUUUUAUUGAUAGAAGGUACCAAGAUGGUACAAGUAGUACAAUAACAAAGGGAAAGUAGAUCAGAGCAUAAAGAACAUAAAGAUUACAACUACCGUCUGCCCCCUAGCAAGUUCAAUAAAUCCAUUUACUUAUUUAUGCUACCAAUAAGACUACCCUUACACCAUAAGAAAAGAUUCUGCAAACAUUUGUUCUUAAUUCUAGAAAUAUAGUCUCUUGGUCCUUAAAAACAAGCUCUAUUCCUCUCCAGCCAUAAGAUCCAAAAUAUGCAUAUGCAUUAGGUAUUCCAAAUCUGCUACAACCUUUUCUGAAUCCUCUGCCCUUGCCAGCACUCGAGUUGGCCCCUUAACCUGCCCAAGAAAUACCACAUAUACUCAGAAAAAGGUCCCAACAUUGUCUUGAAAUUCUACUGUGCAGAAAAAGAUGUUGAACUGAUUCUUGAUCCUCCUCACAUAAGUAGCACCAGUUAGCCAGGAGAAAAGCCAAAGUUCAUUGAUAUGGAGGAUCAUGAGAAGCAUUCUUUCUCUAUGUGUUUCACUAGAUAUUGAUAUAUAAACUCUAGUUUUGUUCACCUUUUCUUUGAGAAAGGAAGAAGAUAGUCAUUAUAUGGAUAAGAAGGAAUUUAGAAAGGAAAUUUCUGAGGAAGUGACUAGGGAGUCACUAAUUGCCAUUUCUUAUUCUGAACCAGAAAAGGAUCUUUCUGUUCGACCUAGACCUGGAAACUGCCACACUGAGAAUGUUGUUAAAGCGCUAAAUGCUGAUGGAGAUGAUAAAUACUCUGAGCUGAUCUCAAUUUCCUACGAAGAGUCACCAGACGCUAAAGUUGAACUCAAGGGCUAAAUUGCUCAUCCAGCUGUGUAAAACACUUCCUUUGCAACAUGUUGUAUGUUACACAUGAAGAACUGGAUUUAACUUGAAUUUGCAGUGUUCCACAUGGACUCUACCCAAUAAACUCUUCUGUUAUAAUCAACCUAAACCAAAAUCAAGCACACAAGUGCUUCACCAAGCUUUUGAUUUUCUUUGUAUUAGAUUUGGUGCAUUUUUUCUCAAGUUUGAACUGCAGAACUUUGUCAAAAGUCACUCACCUGGAGUGUCCUUUUUGUUUCCCAAGUGUAGCUGUUAUUUGGUGCCCGAUCGUGUUUUGUAGCUUUGUUUAAAUCAUAUACGGCGUCUGUGCAAAUGUUGUGCUUUCCUUUUGACUGUGAUCAAUUCAUUCCAGCUGCAGAGCCUAGUUCUUAUGACAUGUGAAAGCAUCUAUUAUCACUA